UAAGGAAUAUUGCGCAAUGGGCGAAAGCCUGACGCAGCGACGCCGCGUGGGGGAUGAAGGUCUUCGGAUUGUAAACCCCUUUCGGCAGGGAAGAUGGAAUGGGUAACCAUUCGGACGGUACCUGCAGAAGCAGCCACGGCUAACUUCGUGCCAGCAGCCGCGGUAAUACGAAGGUGGCAAGCGUUGUUCGGAUUUACUGGGCGUACAGGGAGCGUAGGCGGUUGGGUAAGCCCUUCGUGAAAUCUCCGGGCCUAACCCGGAAAGUGCGGAGGGGACUGCUUGGCUAGAGGAUGGGAGAGGAGCGCGGAAUUCCCGGUGUAGCGGUGAAAUGCGUAGAGAUCGGGAGGAAGGCCGGUGACGAAGGCGGCGCUCUGGAACAUUUCUGACGCUGAGGCUCGAAAGCGUGGGGAGCAAA
rnacentral:rRNA from 1 species